rfam:Sorghum bicolor cultivar BTx623 chromosome 3, whole genome shotgun sequence.
AUUCCAUGAUGCAGGCAGUCUGAUAUGUAUCCUUGAAAACGCUCCCAUGCUUCUGGAAUAGGUUCACCUUUGUGCUGAUGAAAUUCUAAAAGCUACUCUCGUAAGAUA